rnacentral:tRNA from 1 species
UGCCUCGUCGUCUAAGGGCAGGACAUGUGGCUCUGAACCACAGAAUCUAGGUUCGAAUCCUAGCGAGGCAU